rnacentral:rRNA from 1 species
CCUACGGGAGGCAGCAGUGGGGAAUUUUGGACAAUGGGCGAAAGCCUGAUCCAGCAAUGCCGCGUGAGUGAAGAAGGCCUUCGGGUUGUAAAGCUCUUUUGUCAGGGAAGAAACGGUGAGAGCUAAUAUCUUUUGCUAAUGACGGUACCUGAAGAAUAAGCACCGGCUAACUACGUGCCAGCAGCCGCGGUAAUACGUAGGGUGCAAGCGUUAAUCGGAAUUACUGGGCGUAAAGCGUGCGCAGGCGGUUUUGUAAGUCUGAUGUGAAAUCCCCGGGCUCAACCUGGGAAUUGCAUUGGAGACUGCAAGGCUAGAAUCUGGCAGAGGGGGGUAGAAUUCCACGUGUAGCAGUGAAAUGCGUAGAUAUGUGGAGGAACACCGAUGGCGAAGGCAGCCCCCUGGGUCAAGAUUGACGCUCAUGCACGAAAGCGUGGGGAGCAAACAGGAUUAGAUACCCUGGUAGUCCACGCCCUAAACGAUGUCUACUAGUUGUCGGGUCUUAAUUGACUUGGUAACGCAGCUAACGCGUGAAGUAGACCGCCUGGGGAGUACGGUCGCAAGAUUAAAACUCAAAUGAAAUUGACGG